CAGGCAAAGCAUUCUCAUGGGCCGGCACCAGAAGCACAACCAGGGAAUUCUCCGGCACCAACAGCUCAUCCAGUAGGGUUUCCAAUGUAUGGAGCCACUGAAGGGAGCCUUCAGCCGCAGGAGUGCUCAGGGCGGUGCACGGAGAGGUGUUCGUCGACGGCGUACAAGAAGCCCUGCUUGUUCUUCGGCCAGAAGUGCUGCGCUACAUGUCUCUGCGUGCCGCCGGGAACAUACGGGAACAAGCGGUUCUGUCCCUGCUACAACAAUUGGAAGACAAAGCGAGGUGGCCCCAAAUGCCCAUGAGAGAAAGUGGUCCAUUAACCCUUUGAGAGCUCAAUGAGUGAAUUCAUAUAUCAGCAUCAGCUUUCAUUAAUGGGAUCCCCUACCCCAACACACACUUCUGG
rnacentral:misc_RNA from 1 species